UACGUAGGGGGCAAGCGUUGUCCGGAAUCAUUGGGCGUAAAGAGCGUGUAGGCGGUCCGGUAAGUCGGCUGUGAAAGUCCAGGGCUCAACCCUGGGAUGCCGGUCGAUACUGCCGGACUAGAGUUCGGAAGAGGCGAGUGGAAUUCCCGGUGUAGCGGUGAAAUGCGCAGAUAUCGGGAGGAACACCUAUGGCGAAGGCAGCUCGCUGGGACGUUACUGACGCUGAGACGCGAAAAGCGUGGGGGAGCAAAACAGG
rnacentral:rRNA from 1 species